rnacentral:rRNA from 1 species
CCUACGGGAGGCAGCAGUGGGGAAUAUUGGACAAUGGGCGAAAGCCUGAUCCAGCCAUGCCGCGUGUGUGAAGAAGGCCUUCGGGUUGUAAAGCACUUUCAGUGGGGAAGAAAGCCUUGGGGCUAAUACCCUCGAGGAAGGACAUCACCCACAGAAGAAGCACCGGCUAACUCCGUGCCAGCAGCCGCGGUAAUACGGAGGGUGCGAGCGUUAAUCGGAAUUACUGGGCGUAAAGCGCGCGUAGGCGGUCUGAUAAGCCGGUUGUGAAAGCCCCGGGCUCAACCUGGGAACGGCAUCCGGAACUGUCAGGCUAGAGUGCAGGAGAGGAAGGUAGAAUUCCCGGUGUAGCGGUGAAAUGCGUAGAGAUCGGGAGGAAUACCAGUGGCGAAGGCGGCCUUCUGGACUGACACUGACGCUGAGGUGCGAAAGCGUGGGUAGCAAACAGGAUUACAUACCCUGGUAGUC